AACAAUAAUGCUGCUCACUUUUCAGAAGUUGAGGAAAACCCUGAAGAACCUGCAGUAAAAGAAAAAACUGAAAAACCAGUUCUUGAAGAGAAACCUGAAGAACCAACAGUUGAAGAGAAAUCUGAAGAACCAGUUGAGGAGAAACCUGAAGAACCAACAGCUGAAGAGAAACCUGAAGAACCAGCAACUAAAGAAAAACAAGUGCUAGUAGGGGAGGAAACAGCUGAAGAACUAGCGCUUGAAGAGAAACCUGAAGAACUAACGAUUGAACAGACAGAUGAAGAACUAGUUGUUGAAGAUAAAACUGAAAAACCACCAAAUAAAGAGGAGAGACCUGAAACGGUAACUCUCCUUUAGCAGUGUCACAGAGUUUAUCCAUCCUAUUAGUUCUAUAUGUGCAACGAAUUCAUAUCUGUUUAUCUAUUGAAAUACUAAGUGAAAAUUCAAAUUUUCUUGCAGAAUUUGCCCAUUGCAGACUCAAAGGACCAGACUGACAAUGCAAUUCCAUGCGAUACCAACAAUGAUAUUGCUGACUAUGCAACAGUUGAGGAAAAACCUGAAGAAACAGUAGUUGAAGAAAAACAUGAAGAACCUGCAAUUGAAAAGAAAUUUGAAGAAUCAACAGUUAUGGAGAAACCUGAAGAACCAGCAGUGGAAGAAAAACCUGAAGAACCAACAGUUAAAGAGGAACCUGAAAAAUCAGUGAUGGAAGAGAAACCUGAAGAACCAAUUGUUGAGGAGAAACUUGAAGAACCAACUGUUGAAGAGAAACCUGAAAAAUCACUGAUUGAAGAAACACCUGAAGAACCAAUAUGGGAAGAAACACCUAAAGAACUAGCAUUUGAAGAGAAACCAGAAGAACCAGCAGUUGAAGAGGAGAAACCUGAAAAGGUAACUCUUUUGGAAGAGGUGAGUAUCAAGCAUUAGCACAUAGUUUAUCCAUCAUGUUAUUUCUGUAUGUGCAUCGAUUCACAUCUGCUUAUCUAUUGAAAGUCUAAAUGAGACUUUAAAUUCUUCUUGCAGAAUAUACCAGCUGUAGAUUUCAACGACAAGACUGACCGUGAAAUUCCAUGCGAUACCAACAAUGAUAUUGCUGACUAUGCAACAGUUGAGGAAAAACCUGAAGAACCGGUAGUUGAAGAAAAACAUGAAGAACCUGCAAUUGAAAAGAAAUUUGAAGAAUCAACGGUUAUGGAGAAACCUGAAAAACCAGUGGUUAAGGUACAACCUGAAGAACCAGCAGUGGAAGAAAAAGUUGAAGAACCAACAGUUAAUGAGGAACCUGAAAAAUCAGCGAUGGAAGAGAACCCUGAAGAAUCAAUUGUUGAGGAGAAACUUGAAGAACCAACUGUUGAAGAGAAACCUGAAAAAUCACUGAUUGAAGAAACACCUGAAGAACCAAUAUGGAAAGAAACACCUAAAGAACUAGCAUUUGAAGAGCAACCAGAAGAACCAGCAGUUGAAGAGGAGAAACCUGAAAAGGUAUCUCUUUUGGAAGAG
rnacentral:lncRNA from 1 species